AUUUGAUGUUGAAGGCAACUUGAAUAGAGAUUCUUGAACCUCUCCCAAAACUCAUAAAGGGUCUCCCUAGAUUGUUGCUUGAUGCCAGAAAUUUCCUUCCUUAUGGU